AAUUUUCAUCUCUCAACACAGUGACUACCCACAGAGGGGUUUUUACGAAAAUGAAGAGUUCCCCCAGAAGCCUUAACUCUGAGGGUCAUCAAAAUUAGGACAAUCUCUUUUGAGCUUACACACUGCUGUCCUCAAGGGGUGUUCCGGGGUCAGUCUGAAACUGAAAUGAUAUCAGAACUCUCUGACACUUAUUUCUAGUGUCAGUAUCUGCCAGCAACUCACCAAGAGCAAAAGUCCAGGGAGCCCCUUCAGGGAGAAAGUUUCUCACUCUGGAUCCCAAUUCUACUCUGAAAAAUUCAACUGUACAACUAACAUUUUACAACAAAGAGGUUCCAUUUUAAAAACCCAAGGACACAAGGGGACAGUCAAGGUGACAAGGCUCAAAUUCUGGUAGAAAAUAUAAAUCCCCAGAUAUUCUCUUUCCCUGUCCAAGGGCAAAAGCUGACCAAGCCUUGGGAGGAAAGACUCCUGUACAGUCUAGUACACAACACUCCUUCUGCUCAUUCCUCCCAGCAACCACUCUUCUUGGGAGAUUAAUGCAGUCAAAUGUCCUCCAGUGAUGCAGAGCAUUCUCCCAUUCUGCAGGGCUUCAAAACAAAGCCAAAGAGCUGCCUGCUGUAUUUCUGUACUCUUACAACACAGGGAGACAGAGAGAUCCAAGGACUUCCAACCAUCUGUGUGCCAACCCCCAGCUACUCUAAGACAUAAAAAGUGGAACAAAGGAGUUUGUGACUGCAAAGAUGGAGAGAAAAUGAUGGCUUAAAAGAAAGGUACUCAGCAUAGUACCAGGCACAUUGUUGGUGUUCCAUGAAUGUAGAAUGAAAUCAAUCAAUCAACAGGAGUACAACUAGCACAAUGCACGAUUCUAAUGUGGCUGAAGAGCUGCCUCUGCCUCUAAGGAUCAGGGCAUUCUGUGUUUGAUGGCAGAACCUAAGUCAGAAUCCAGCACAAUCCCUGACAAGUGAGAAGAACCUCAGGACCAGACUACUAAUUACAGCACUGGAAAGAGAAUAACAGACUCCUGAUUACAGAACUACAAAGAAAAGCAGCCAGGGGGUGGCGGUGGGGAGACUAUACUUUAUAAUCAAAAUAAAUCUGAAAAUACAGACUAAAGUCUGCCUCU